rnacentral:rRNA from 1 species
UACGGAGGGGGCUAGCGUUGUUCGGAAUUACUGGGCGUAAAGCGCGCGUAGGCGGAUCUGCAAGUCGGGUGUGAAAUCUCGGAGCUUAACUCCGAAACUGCAUUCGAUACUGCCGUGCUUGAGGACUGGAGAGGAGACUGGAAUUUACGGUGUAGCGGUGAAAUGCGUAGAUAUCGUAAGGAAGACCAGUGGCGAAGGCGGGUCUCUGGACAGUUCCUGACGCUGAGGCACGAAGGUCAGGGGAGCAAACGGG